AUGAUCUCAUUGUAAAAACUUGGAGAGAACUCAGCAAAGAUCUUUAUGGGCCUCUCUGUGUAGUGUUUCUUUCAUCCAGGUAUAGAUAGGGUAGGACACCAGUUAAAUGAGGUUCUUAUGACCUAUUUUGAGGAGAAGUAAGCCAGAUAAUUCCUUUAUGGCUGGCUCUCACAAAGGAAAGAGAGGGGAAGGCAGAGAGGGACUCCAAGGUGCUAUAUUUUGGGACAGCAUGUUCUGACUCCAAGGUGUUGUAUUUUGAGAUAGCAUGUUCUGAGCCCUGGCACAAGUAAAUUUAAUGAUCCUUGAGAUUGGAGACCCUCCUUGAUAGGAUAGAAAUGUACCUUCUGUCUGUGUCCUGGACUGGUGGUCCACUAUGCAGGUUCAUAAGAUUCCUGGCAUAAAUUACUUCUUCCUUUCCCUCCUUUCUCUCUCUCUCUCUCUUUUUUUCUUCUUGGAAUAACAACAUAAUAUGAGUAAUUAAUAAGAAAGAAAACAAAUUAUAUCAGUCAUUAUUCAGCGUUAGAAUAAACUAAAAUUAAAUAGAUGUCUCUGAGUGCUUCAGCAUAUGAAUAUUAUCAACCACUGUAUGUGGUUAUUGAUGUGUGCUUUACUACAGUGAGUAUGUUUCUGUGUAUGUAUAUAAUAUAUAUUAUGUUUGUAUGAAUGUAUAUAAUAUUUAAAUAUUUUAAUAUGGAAAUAAAUCAUUGCCUUCAGCACACUGAUUACAAAUCAAUUCAUAUCUCAAUUAAAUUGAGUUGUAAGUCACACAGUUGAUUACCCCAAAGAGCUCAUUAUAAAUGCAUAUGACUCUUAAUGGCUCCAAUGAGAAGAGAGCCCUUCACUCGUGAUGAAUGUUACCACUUUAAUUGAAACAAGGUUACCUUUGGCAUUAAGGUACAUAAGACGCUCUCAAAGCAGUUAUGGUUUUAUAAAUUUAAAUUAGGAUGUUCUGGUCAGAACAGUUUUCUAAAAUUAGAUUGGAGAAUGGGACAGAUGUAAAUAGGGUUCCUCUACACAAAGAAAUAUGAUUGUAAGACAUUACUUUUGUGAUGUGUUUUUAACAGUUUUAUCUUUCUGUAAUUAUAGUUAAUUUUGGAAGCUACUGUUUUGUCAUCAAAUGCUACCGUUGCUCUAGAUGACAUCAGUGUGUCCCAGGAAUGUGAAAUUUCCUAUAAAUCACUACCAAGGACCAGUACACAAAGCAAGUGAGCUGAAUGGACUAAUCAAGAAAAAUUUGGGUCACAUGAUUCUGGAUUGAGACGAUUAAAGAACUUUUAAUUAAA